GACGAACGCUGGCGGCGUGCUUAACACAUGCAAGUCGAACGGAAAGGCCCUGCUUUUGUGGGGUGCUCGAGUGGCGAACGGGUGAGUAACACGUGAGUAUCAUGCCCUUGACUUUGGGAGAACUUCAGGGAACUGGGGCUAAUACCGGAUAGGAGCUCCUGCUGCAUGGUGGGGGUUGGAAAGUUUCGGCGGUUGGGGAUGGACUAGAGGCUUAUGAGCUUGUUGGGGGGGUAGUGGCUUACCAAGGUUUUGACGGGUAGCCGGCCUGAGAGGGUGACCAGCCACAUUGGGCCUGAGAUACGGCCCAGACUCCAACGGGAGGCAGCAGUGGGGAAUAUUGCACAAUGGGCGGAAGCCUGAUGCAGCAACGCCGCGUGCGGGAUGACGGCCUUCGGGGUGUAAACCGCUUUCGCCUGUGACGAAGCGUGAGUGACGGUAAUGGGUAAAGAAGCACCGGCUAACUACGUG
rnacentral:rRNA from 1 species